rnacentral:rRNA from 1 species
CUCGUAGGCGGUUCGUCGCGUCCGGUGUGAAAGUCCAUCGCCUAACGGUGGAUCUGCGCCGGGUACGGGCGGGCUGGAGUGCGGUAGGGGAGACUGGAAUUCCCGGUGUAAAGGUGGAAUGUGUAGAUAUCGGGAAGAACACCAAUGGCGAAGGCAGGUCUCUGGGCCGUUACUGACGCUGAGGAGCGAAAGCGUGGGGAGCGAACA